rnacentral:rRNA from 1 species
UAUCUCUGUAGAGUCUGCAUAUCAAUAAGCGGAGGAAAAGAAACCUAACUAGGAUUCCCUCAGUAACGGCGAGUGAAGCGGGAAGAGCUCAAAUUUGAAAUCUUCAAGGUUCUACCUUGACGAAUUGUAGUUUAAAGAAGUGUUUUCUGUUGGAGUUUUGGUAAAAGUUCUUUGGAAUAGGACAUCAUAGAGGGUGAGAAUCCCGUAUUUGACCAUUAUUUCCAGCUUUGUGAUACACUUUCAAAGAGUCGGAUUGUUUGGGAAUGCAGUCCAAAAUGGGUGGUAAAUUUCAUCUAAAGCUAAAUACUGGCGAGAGACCGAUAGCGAACAAGUACCGUGAGGGAAAGAUGAAAAGAACUUUGAAAAGAGAGUUAAACAGUACGUGAAAUUGUCAAAAGGGAAGCGUUUGACACCAGUGUUGUUUUCUCGAAAAUCAAUUAAAAAAGGCAGGAUUUUGUGUCGUAUUGACUUUAUCAGCUUUCCUGCACUCUUUUCUUGUCUUUUUUAAUGCACUUUUCGUUUAACAAGUCAACAUCAAUUUCUUUUGUUGUAAAAGGGUCAUUGGAAGGUGGCUUUCUUUUCGGAGAAAGUGUUUAUAGCCUUUGGCCUCUGCAAUCGGAGAGAUUGAGGUCUGCAGCGUAGAUCCUUCGGGGUUAGAUACAUUUGUGCUAAGUUAUAGCCUUUCAUAGACAACUUGUUGACUAUGAUCAGUCAUGUAGCUUACUCGCUUAUGCUAUUUUACCUACGCUUAGGAUGUUGACGAUCAGCUGAGCGCG